rnacentral:tRNA from 1 species
GGAGAAGUACCCAAGCAGGUCGAAGGGGACGGUUUGCUAAACCGUUAGUAGGGGAUAACUCUAGCGCGGGUUCGAAUCCCGCCUUCUCCGCCA